AUUGAACGCUGGCGGCAUGCCUUACACAUGCAAGUCGAACGGUAACAGGUCUUCGGAUGCUGACGAGUGGCGAACGGGUGAGUAAUACAUCGGAACGCGCCUAGUAGUGGGGGAUAACUACUCGAAAGAGUGGCAAAUACCGCUUGAGAUCUACGGAUGGCAGCAGGGGAUCGCAAGACCUUGUGCUACUACAGCGCCCUAUGGCAGAUUAGGUGGUUGGUGGGAUAAAAGCUUACCAAGCCGACGAUCUGUAGCUGGUCUGAGAGGACGACCAGCAAAACUGGGGCUAAGACACGGCCAAGACUCCUACGGGAGGCAGCAGUGGGGAAUUUUGGACAAAGGGCGAAAGCCUGAUCCAGCAAUGCCGCGUGAAGGAUGAAGGCCUUCGGGUUGUAGACUGCUUUUGUACGGAACGAAAAGCCCCGGGUUAAUACCCUGGGGUCAUGACGGUACCGUAAGAAUAAGCACCGGCUAACUACGUGCCUGCAGCCGCAGUAA
rnacentral:rRNA from 1 species